GACGAACGCUGGCGGCGUGCUUAACACAUGCAAGUCGAACGAUGAAAGCGGGAGCUUGCUCCUGCUGGAUUAGUGGCGAACGGGUGAGUAACACGUGAGCAAUCUGCCCCGAACUCUGGGAUAAGCGUUGGAAACGACGUCUAAUACCGGAUACGACGCGCGAAGGCAUCUUCUGCGCGUGGAAAGAAUUUCGGUUCGGGAUGAGCUCGCGGCCUAUCAGCUAGUUGGUGAGGUAAUGGCUCACCAAGGCGACGACGGGUAGCCGGCCUGAGAGGGUGACCGGCCACACUGGGACUGAGACACGGCCCAGACUCCUACGGGAGGCAGCAGUGGGGAAUAUUGCACAAUGGGCGCAAGCCUGAUGCAGCAACGCCGCGUGAGGGACGACGGCC
rnacentral:rRNA from 1 species